rfam:Caenorhabditis brenneri strain PB2801 C_brenneri-6.0.1_Cont81.8, whole genome shotgun sequence.
GACUGCUUAGCGCAAUGGUAACGCGUUAGACUCCAGAUCGAAAGGUCGUUCGUUCGAUCCGAUCAGCGUUCG